GCCCCAGUAGCUCAACGGACAGAGCACCAGACUUCUAAUCUGUAGGUUGGGGGUUCGAUUCCCUCCUGGGGUA
rnacentral:tRNA from 1 species